rnacentral:rRNA from 1 species
UAACUAGGAUUCCCCUAGUAACUGCGAGUGAAGCGGGAAGAGCUCAAAUUUGUAAUCUGGUGGUCUUUGACCACCCGAGUUGUAAUCUGUAGAGGCGUUGUCCGCGUCGGCCCAUGUACAAGUCUCCUGGAAUGGAGUGUCAUAGAGGGUGAGAAUCCCGUUGAUGACAUGGACCACCGAUGCUUUGUGAGGCGCCCUCGAAGAGUCGCGUUGUUUGGGAAUGCAGCGCAAAAUGGGUGGUAAAUUCCAUCUAAGGCUAAAUAUUGGCGAGAGACCGAUAGCGAACAAGUACCGUGAGGGAAAGAUGAAAAGCACUUUGAAAAGAGAGUUAAACAGUACGUGAAAUUGUUGAAAGGGAAACGCUUGAAGUCAGUCGCGUCUUGAGGCACUCAGCCUUGCCCUUUGGGCUUGGUGUACUUGCUUCAGAUGGGUCAACAUCAAUUUUGGCUGGUGGACAAGGGUGAGGGGAAUGUAGCGUGGCUUCGGCGACGUGUUAUAGCCUCUUGUCGAAUACACCAGCUGGGAUUGAGGAUCGCAGCACGCCCUUGUGGCCAGAGGUUUUUUCCUCAUGUAAUGUGCUUAGGAUGUUGGCAUAAUGGCUUUAAGCGACCCGUCUUGAAACACGGACCAAGGAGUCUAACGUGCUUGCGAGUGUUYGGGUGGAAAACCCUUGCRCGUAAUGAAAGUGAAAGUUGGGAACCUUCGUGAGGGGGUGCACCGACGCCYGGCCCUGACGUUCUCUGAUGGUGCUGCGGUAGAGCAAGUAUGUUGGGACCCGAAAGAUGGUGAACUAUGCCUGAAUAGGGCGAAGCCAGAGGAAACUCUGGUGGAGGCUCGUAGCGAUUCUGACGUGCAAAUCGAUCGUCAAAUUUGGGUAUAGGGGCGAAAGACUAAUCGAACCAUCUAGUAGCUGGUUCCUGCCGAAGUUUCCCUCAGGAUAGCAGAGACUCGUAUCAGAUUUAUGUGGUAAAGCGAAUGAUUAGAGGCCUUGGGGUUGAAACAACCUUAACCUAUUCUCAAACUUUAAAUAUGUAAGAACGGGCCGUCUCUUGGUUGGACCGCUCGC